AGUGGCGGACGGGUGAGUAACACGUAGGUAACCUGCCCAGAAGCGGGGGACAACAUUUGGAAACAGAUGCUAAUACCGCAUAACAACGUUGUUCGCAUGAACAACGCUUAAAAGAUGGCUUCUCGCUAUCACUUCUGGAUGGACUGCGGUGCAUUAGCUUGUUGGUGGGGUAACGGCCUACCAAGGGCGAUGAUGCAUAGCCGAGUUGAGAGACUGAUCGGCCACAAUGGGACUGAGACACGGCCCAUACUCCUACGGGAGGCAGCAGUAGGGAAUCUUCCACAAUGGGCGCAAGCCUGAUGGAGCAACACCGCGUGAGUGAAGAAGGGUUUCGGCUCGUAAAGCUCUGUUGUUAAAGAAGAACACGUAUGAGAGUAACUGUUCAUACGUUGACGGUAUUUAACCAGAAAGUCACGGCUAACUACGUGCCAGCAGCCGCGGUAAUACGUAGGUGGCAAGCGUUAUCCGGAUUUAUUGGGCGUAAAGAGAGUGCAGGCGGUUUUCUAAGUCUGAUGUGAAAGCCUUCGGCUUAACCGGAGAAGUGCAUCGGAAACUGGAUAACUUGAGUGCAGAAGAGGGUAGUGGAACUCCAUGUGUAGCGGUGGAAUGCGUAGAUAUAUGGAAGAACACCAGUGGCGAAGGCGGCUACCUGGUCUGCAACUGACGCUGAGACUCGAAAGCAUGGGUAGCGAACAGGAUUAGAUACCCUGGUAGUCCAUGCCGUAAACGAUGAGUGCUAGGUGUUGGAGGGUUUCCGCCCUUCAGUGCCGGAGCUAACGCAUUAAGCACUCCGCCUGGGGAGUACGACCGCAAGGUUGAAACUCAAAGGAAUUGACGGGGGCCCGCACAAGCGGUGGAGCAUGUGGUUUAAUUCGAAGCUACGCGAAGAACCUUACCAGGUCUUGACAUCUUGCGCCAACCCUAGAGAUAGGGCGUUUCCUUCGGGAACGCAAUGACAGGUGGUGCAUGGUCGUCGU
rnacentral:rRNA from 2 species